rnacentral:rRNA from 1 species
GCAGGGAAUCUUGCGCAAUGGGCGAAAGCCUGACGCAGCAACGCCGCGUGAGGGAAGAAGGCCUUCGGGUUGUAAACCUCUUUUGUUGGGGAAGAAGCAAGUGACGGUACCCAGCGAAUAAGCCUCGGCUAACUACGUGCCAGCAGCCGCGGUAAGACGUAGGAGGCGAGCGUUGUCCGGAAUUACUGGGCGUAAAGGGCGUGUAGGCGGCUGGUCGAGUUAGCCGUGAAAUCUCCUGGCUCAACUGGGAGGGUGCGGUUAAUACUGGCCAGCUUGAGUGCAGCAGAGGGAAGUGGAAUUCCCGGUGUAGUGGUGAUAUGCGUAGAUAUCGGGAGGAACACCAGUGGCGAAGGCGGCUUUCUGGGCUGCAACUGACGCUGAGGCGCGAAAGCGUGGGGAGCGAACCGGAUUAGAAACCCCUGUAGUCC